AUUACAGAGUUCAUGCCCUUCGGGGUAGAUCUCCCACCCGUGUCAUCACACCUUUGUUGCUUUGGCGGGCCCGCCUCGGCCACCGGCUCCGGCUGGUGAGCGCCCGCCAGAGGACCCCAAACUCUGAAAUUUAGUGUCGUCUGAGUACUAUAUAAUAGUUAAAACUUUCAACAACGGAUCUCUUGGUUCUGGCAUCGAUGAAGAACGCAGCGAAAUGCGAUAAGUAAUGUGAAUUGCAGAAUUCAGUGAAUCAUCGAAUCUUUGAACGCACAUUGCGCCCCUUGGUAUUCCGGGGGGCAUGCCUGUUCGAGCGUCAUUACAACCCUCAAGCUCUGCUUGGUAUUGGGCGUCCCCGGCGACGGGGUGCCCUAAAAUCAGUGGCGGUGCCGUCUGGCUCUAAGCGUAGUAAAUCUCUCGCUCUGGAUGCCCGGUGGAUGCUCGCCAGAACCCCCCAUUUUUUACAGGUUGACCUCGGAUCAGGUAGGGAUACCCGCUGAACUUAAGCAUAUCAAUA
rnacentral:rRNA from 2 species